AAAGUAUAAAGUCUGUCCCAAUGGCAGAUAAGAGAAAGCAUAGUAUACAGGUCAUCAGAGUUGACCUAGUGGGAAGGAAUCUUGAGCACUUCAUCCUACAAUGGGAAUGCUAGGAACACAGGGCUUCAUACAAGCUAAGCAAGCACUUUACCUGGAUCUUCCCCUACAGCCCCCUCAUAAUGAUUGAGGACCCCCUGGGAAGCCAGAAAAGGCUCUGCUGGAGAGAAGCCAGCUGUCUUCGGGAGCUGAGAGUCCAUCUGGAUACUCAGGAAAGCAAUGAAGCUCCUCCCACCCCACCCCCUACGACCCCC